rnacentral:rRNA from 1 species
UUAAACCUAGCUACACCCCUGACUAUUAUAUCAUCUUAGUUGACAGGAAUCUGUAUGCUCAGUUUUAGGUUGGGGUGACCACGGAGCACAAUAAAACCUCCAUGAUAAACGAAACUAUUUUCUUAUCUAAGAACCACAUUUCUAAGAAUUAGCACACUAAUUUAAUAUGAUCCGAUAAACGAUCAACGAACCAAGUUACCCUGGGGAUAACAGCGCAAUCCAUUUCAAGAGCCCCUAUC